CGGGGCGUAGCGCAGCCUGGUAGCGCGCUUGUUUCGGGAGCAAGAGGUCGUGAGUUCAAAUCUCACCGCCCCGACCA
rnacentral:tRNA from 1 species